UACGAACGCUGGCGGCGUGCUUAACACAUGCAAGUCGAACGGAAAGGCCCUGCUUUUGUGGGGUGCUCGAGUGGCGAACGGGUGAGUAACACGUGAGUAACCUGCCCUUGACUUUGGGAUAACUUCAGGAAACUGGGGCUAAUACCGGAUAGGAGCUCCUGCUGCAUGGUGGGGGUUGGAAAGUUUCGGCGGUUGGGGAUGGACUCGCGGCUUAUCAGCUUGUUGGUGGGGUAGUGGCUUACCAAGGCUUUGACGGGUAGCCGGCCUGAGAGGGUGACCGGCCACAUUGGGACUGAGAUACGGCCCAGACUCCUACGGGAGGCAGCAGUGGGGAAUAUUGCACAAUGGGCGGAAGCCUGAUGCAGCAACGCCGCGUGCUGGAUGACGGCCUUCGGGUUGUAAACCGCUUUCGCCUGUGACGAAGCGUGAGUGACGGUAAUGGGUAAAGAAGCACCGGCUAACUACGUG
rnacentral:rRNA from 1 species